rnacentral:rRNA from 1 species
CUUUACUGUAGCCUGGAAUUGGGUUCGGGCUUUGACUGCGCAGGAUAGGUGGGAGACUAUGAGAUUACCCUUGUGGGGGCAAAGGAGUCAACGGUGAGAUACCACUCUGUCAAAGCUAGAAUUCUAACCUUUAGCCGUCAUCCGGCGGAGGAACAGUUUCAGGUGGGCAGUUUGACUGGGGCGGUCGCCUCCUAAGUGUAACGGAGGCGCACAAAGGUUCCCUCAGGCUGGUUGGAAAUCAGCCGAAGAGUGCAAAGGCAUAAGGGAGCUUGACUGUGAGACUGACAAGUCGAGCAGGGUGGAAACACGGUCUUAGUGAUCCGACGGCUAUGAGUGGAAGUGCCGUCGCUCAACGGAUAAAAGUUA